CCUGUCUAGCCAUUUCCAUGUGAGCUUCUCAGUAAUGAUCAUUCAAUAUAUUAACCCUUACCGCGCUUCCUUUUACCUUUUAAUUAACCACCACAUAGAUAGGUGAUUGCUGUACUACGAGCAUGCUUUAUCGUACAUACCUCAACGUCAAGGCCGAAUUGACUAAUGGCUUACCCUGUGUGCAUUUCUGACAGUAUGUCUAGUCUUCAUCUUGGUCACAACCUAUG